rnacentral:rRNA from 1 species
CUGGCGGCGUGCCUAACACAUGCAAGUCGAACGGGGAUUUGUUUCGGCAGAAUCCUAGUGGCGAACGGGUGAGUAACGCGUAGGCAACCUGCCCUCCGGCCGGGGACAACACUCCGAAAGGGGUGCUAAUACCGGAUACGAAGUCUGUGCCGCAUGGUACGGAUUUGAAAGAUGGCCUCUAUUUAUAAGCUAUCGCCGGGGGAUGGGCCUGCGUCCGAUUAGCUGGUUGGUGGGGUAACGGCCUACCAAGGCGACGAUCGGUAGCCGGUCUGAGAGGAUGAACGGCCACAUUGGGACUGAGACACGGCCCAGACUCCUACGGGAGGCAGCAGUGGGGAAUCUUCCGCAAUGGGCGCAAGCCUGACGGAGCAACGCCGCCGUGAGUGAGGAAGUUCUUCGGAACGUAAAGCUCUGUUGUUCCUGACGAACCUCCCUUCUAUCAACAACGGAGGGGACUGACGGUAGGGAACGAGGAAACCACGGCUAACUACGUGCCAGCAGCCGC